CGCGUAGGUGGUCUGUCAAGUCGGGGGUGAAAUCUUUCGGCUCAACCGGAAAACUGCCUUCGAUACUGACAGGCUGGAGGGAGGUAGGGGUUGCGGGAACUACCAGUGGAGCGGUGAAAUGCGUUGAUAUUGGUAGGAACGCCGGUGGCGAAAGCGCGCAACUGGACCUUUUCUGACACUGAGGCGCGAAAGCUAGGGGAGCAAAACGG
rnacentral:rRNA from 1 species